rnacentral:lncRNA from 10 species
GAUUACAGGCGUGAGCCACCUUGCCUGGCCACAAAUCCAGAUUUUUUUAUUGCUGCCUUAUUUUCUUCCUUUAUUUCUGUUACCUAUGCUGAGAAGAGUUCAGGAUUCCUGUUUUGUAUUUAAGUAUCUUUAAAUUACCACUCUAACAUUACAAAUCUUCUUUAUGGAAGAUUUGGAGUGUUUUACUUAUUGUAGAAACACUAUCAACCUCAAUACGAAAUGUAGUUUUUACUUUAUCCUGGCAACUCGUCUCACAUAUCAAAUUAAGACAUGACAUAAAAUUAGUUUCAGGUUUGCUCUAUGAUCUCCUUCUACUGUAUCCUAAUUAAGCUAUCAGAUUCAUCUUUCUGAAAUACUCUUCAUGAUGCCAUUUCCCAGAUGAUAAAUCAUUACUAUCCCUAGGAUAAAGUUCAAACCCUUCCUUUAAGCUUUCAGCACACUUAUGAAUUGGGCCACCAUAUUCAACCAAAAGCUCUUAACCUAUGUACCUUCUCAUUCUAUUCCCCCUGCCUCUAAUGCAUAGUUCAAGAUCUAAUUCAUGUCCCAUUUCUUCAAAGAAGAUUUUGAUGAAUCUUCUAGUCAAUAUGUCUAGUUUAUGCCAUUUGUAAGCACACAUUUUGUCAGUGUUAAUUUGUCAUAUGUUAAAUAUAUAUUGUCUUUUAUUGAUACAAAACGGGUAUAUAGCAUCUUCCUAAUGGAAUACACACUAAUGUGACUUACCUUCUAGAGGCACUACAGACAUGAAACUCAACAAAUUCUAAUCUCAACUCACCUACUUCUUUCAUAAACCAGUUCUUUACCUAAUUGUCCAAUAUCAAUAAAUGGUACUAACAAUACAUUAAAUCACCAAAUCUAAAAAAUUGUGAGAUCUUUCUAAGAUAUCCUUCUUUGACACUCUCCCUUAUUUGGAUUUAUUUACUAAGUCCCAUCAGUUUUGCUUCCUAAAUAUUCCUCUAACUCAGUAUCUCCUCUUUUAUCCCCACUAUCCUUGCCAAAAGUUAGGCUUUCAUCAUCUUUUACCUUGGUUAGGGCAGAGCCUUCUAAAUAGUCUUUUAGCCCUUAAGCCCAUUCUUCAUUUAGAAGCUGGACUGCUAUAUCUAAAAUGAAAAUUUAAACUCAUCCUUCAGCUACCUAAAAACCUUCUCAGGAUCCUUUUCCUCUCAAGGUAAGUUUUGUCCUUCUUAAUAUGAUCUCUGUAUAAGACUUUCCAUGACCUGGCCCCUUAUUCUCUGUAGCACCACCAGCUUCUCCUACAUUGAAAGGUUUGCCUGGUAAGACUGAACUGUUCAUAGUUCUUUAAAUAAGCUACAAUAUUUCCUAAUUGUGUACCCUUGAUUUUACUGUUUUCUUGCCCUAGAAUGCUGUUUCUAUCAUUCUUCACCUAGUUCCAAAUCAUCUUUCAAGACAGAGCUUAAAUAG